UACAGAGGGUGCGAGCGUUGUUCGGAAUUACUGGGCGUAAAGCGCGCGUAGGCGGCUUUGCAAGUCGGGUGUGAAAGCCCCGGGCUCAACCUGGGAACUGCAUUCGAUACUGGACGGCUAGAGUAUGAGAGAGGGAGGUAGAAUUCCACGUGUAGCGGUGAAAUGCGUAGAUAUGUGGAGGAAUACCGGUGGCGAAGGCGGCCUCCUGGUUCAAUACUGACGCUGAGGUGCGAAAGCGUGGGGAGCAAACAGG
rnacentral:rRNA from 1 species